rnacentral:rRNA from 1 species
AUUGAACGCUGGCGGCAUGCUUUACACAUGCAAGUCGAACGGUAACAGGUUAAGCUGACGAGUGGCGAACGGGUGAGUAAUGCAUCGGAACGUGCCCGGUCGUGGGGGAUAACGCAGCGAAAGCUGCGCUAAUACCGCAUACGAUCUAAGGAUGAAAGCGGGGGACCGUAAGGCCUCGCGCGAUCGGAGCGGCCGAUGUCAGAUUAGGUAGUUGGUGGGGUAAAGGCUCACCAAGCCAACGAUCUGUAGCUGGUCUGAGAGGACGACCAGCCAAACUGGGACUGAGAAACGGCCCAGACUCCUACGGGGGGCAGCAGUGGGGAAUUUUGGACAAUGGGCGAAAGCCUGAUCCAGCAAUGCCGCGUGCAGGAAGAAGGCCUUCGGGUUGUAAACUGCUUUUGUACGGAGCGAAAAGGUCUCCUCUAAUACAGGGGGCUCAUGACGGUACCGUAAGAAUAAGCACCGGCUAACUACGUGCCAGCCGCCGCGGUAA